AACUCUGGGCGGUGGAUCACUCGGCUCGUGAGUCGAUGAAGAGCGCAGCCAGCUGCGUGAAUUAAUGUGAAUUGCAGGACACAUUGGCAUCGAUACACUUGAACGCACAUUGCGGCCUCGGGUCAGUCCCGGGGCCACGCAUGACUGAGCCGGU
rnacentral:rRNA from 1 species